rnacentral:rRNA from 1 species
GACGAACGCUGACGGCGUGCCUAAUACAUGCAAGUCGAGCGGACGGAUGGGAGCUUGCUCCCAGACCGUCAGCGGCGGACGGGUGAGUAACACGUGGGCAACCUGCCUGUAAGACUGGGAUAACUCCGGGAAACCGGGGCUAAUACCGGAUAACUCUUUCCCUCACAUGAGGGAAAGCUGAAAGAUGGCAUCUCGCUAUCACUUACAGAUGGGCCCGCGGCGCAUUAGCUAGUUGGUGAGGUAACGGCUCACCAAGGCGACGAUGCGUAGCCGACCUGAGAGGGUGAUCGGCCACACUGGGACUGAGACACGGCCCAGACUCCUACGGGAGGCAGCAGUAGGGAAUCUUCCGCAAUGGACGAAAGUCUGACGGAGCAACGCCGCGUGAGUGAUGAAGGUUUUCGGAUCGUAAAACUCUGUUGUCAGGGAAGAACAAGUACCGGAGUAACUGCCGGUACCUUGACGGUACCUGACCAGAAAGCCACGGCUAACUACGUG